rnacentral:lncRNA from 1 species
UCUCUCUCUCUCCAGAUCUACUUCCUUUGCUCCUGGCUCCUCCCUGUUGGGCAGCUGCCAAACUGCGUUGCUAUCUGUUUCCUUGAAAUGUGCAGCUCUGUGCGCUGACAGCUCAGCUGUUGUGGAAGGCAGCUGGUGACACAGAGGCCGUGAAAACAUGGGUUCUUCCGGAAGCCAACCUGCCCAGGAACCUCCACCACGACCCAAAGCUGCGGAACCUGAACCCGAACCCAAAACUGAGGAACCUCCACCGCAGCCCAAACCUGAGGUAAGUGGUAUGUGUGUGGUGGCUGGAGAUUUCAUUUGGACGGGGCUGGGAAUAUAGCUCAGCAGCACAAGUGCCUGCCUGGCAAGUGCAAGGUCCUGUGUUCUAUUCCAAGUACCAAAAAAAAAGGAAAAAAAAAGUACACAAGAGAUUUCAUUUGGAAUGGCAGUGUAGGUGGUGACUGGCAGCUGGUGAUGAACCUCUGACUUGCAUAAUUCAACACUUUGAAAGGCUGGGUUUGCUUCAGUGGUAGAACAAGUGGCUAAAAGACUCUGGAUUUGAC